GGGGAAGCCAGUUGCCAUGUCAUGAAAACAUUCAAGCAGCUCUCUGGAGAAGUCCACUUGGCAAGGAACAGAGGUCUCCUGCCAAAAUCAGAAAGGAAUCGAGACUCCCUGCAAACAGUCAUGUGAAUGAGCCCUCUUGGAAGUGGGUUGUCCAGCCCCAGUCAAUCCUUCAGAUGAUGCAGAUCCAGCUAUAAAGACUCUGAGCCUCAACUAUCAGCUAAGCCACUCCAGGCUCCUGGGGUUUUACAUCAGUCAUCAUGGAUGCUCC
rnacentral:lncRNA from 1 species